UAAAUAUUCUAAAAGCAUCAUGGAGAUUAGUUUCAAAAAAAGUAAUACCGAAGUUUGAAACGUUCUUGAAUGAGACAGUUGAAGAGAGAGCCACAGUGACGUCGAGUGCUGAUCUCAUCAGCAUGCCAGGACCAUGGUUACGGAUUGAGCUGACAGGUGUAACGACCAGAGACUCGGGACAAUACACCUGUUGCAUUGAUUACCGUACGGACGAUGAUGUACUUUGGCAAGCAGACACCAAGAACUUCACUGUAGCAACUGUUUCUACAGCUGGUCCAACCACGCCAGGUGAUACCGCUGGAAUUGUGACCGCUGUUGUAUUAGCUUUUGCUAUCCCCAUGGGUUGGAUAAUAUAGAAGAGGGUAAAGCAUGCCACAGGUGAAGAUGAGCAUAACGCACAGACAACUCGAAACAAACAAUGAAGUUGACAACCCUGGCUUCUCAAAUAUGUCUUAACUAGUUUUUUUCUUUUUAUUUAAAAAUAUAUAUUACAAACACAGCUUAAAUGUCUUAAAUGGAUGUUAUUUGGGUGUGGUUCGUCGGGUGUCCUAUGUUGGUUGUGGUACGUGAUACGUUGGGUGUAGUACGUUGGGUGUGGCACGUUGGGUGUUUUACUUUGGGUGUGGUACGUUGGGUGUAGUACUGUGGGUGUUUUACGUUGGUGUAGUACUGUGGGUAUGGUCGUUGGGUGUAGUCCUGUGGGUGUUUAC